rnacentral:lncRNA from 1 species
UUUAUUACAAAAUGGUGCCUUGAUGUAUGCACCUUAUUAUCGUUCUCAUUUGAUUUGUUUGAGUUUGUUUUUCUUGAAAGUGUUUUCUCAUUUUCUUUUUUUUGUUUCUUUUUAUUAAUGAAUUUCCCAUUAUAAUUGUAUGUUCUAAUAUGGAUUAUCAUUUACGUGUUAUAGCAUGGAUACUACUGCCAUCCACGACA